CACGAAGUUAGCCGGGGCUUAUUCUUGCGGUACCGUCAUUAUCUUCCCGCACAAAAGAGCUUUACAACCCUAGGGCCUUCAUCACUCACGCGGCAUGGCUGGAUCAGGCUUGCGCCCACUGUCCAAUAUUCCCCACUGCUGCCUCCCGUAGGAGUUUGGGCCGUGUCUCAGUCCCAAUGUGGCUGAUCAUCCUCUCAGACCAGCUACUGAUCGUCGCCUUGGUGAGCCAUUACCUCACCAACUAGCUAAUCAGACGCGGGCCGAUCUUUCGGCGAUAAAUCUUUCCCCGUAAGGGCUUAUCCGGUAUUAGCACAAGUUUCCCUGUGUUGUUCCGAACCAAAAGGUACGUUCCCACGCGUUACUCACCCGUCUGCCGCUGACAUAUUGCUAUGCCCGCUCGACUUGCAUGUGUUAAGCCUGCCGCAGCGUUCGCUCUGAGCCAGGAUCGAAACUCU
rnacentral:rRNA from 1 species